rnacentral:rRNA from 1 species
UAGCCGUAAACGAUACUCGCUAGGUGUCGGCCACGGUGCGACCGUUGUCGGUGCCGUAGGGAAGCCGUGAAGCGAGCCACCUGGGAAGUACGGCCGCAAGGCUGAAACUUAAAGGAAUUGGCGGGGGAGCACAACAACGGGUGGAGCUUGCGGUUUAAUUGGAUUCAACGCCGGGAAGCUCACCGGAUAAGACAGCGGAAUGAUUGCCGGGCUGAAGACCCUGCAUGACCAGCUGAGAGGUGGUGCAUGGCGUCAGUGACU